rnacentral:rRNA from 1 species
GCCCGCUCAGAAACUACAAAGGAAGUUGACGGGGCCCGCACAAGCGGUGGAGCAUGUGGUUUAAUUCGAUGAUACGCGAGGAACCUUACCUGGGCUCAAAUGUAUGUUGACGUAUUCUGAAAGGGAUACUUCUUCGGACAAUAUACAAGGUGCUGCAUGGUUGUCGUCAGCUCGUGCCGUGAGGUGUCGGGUUAAGUCCCAUAACGAGCGCAACCCUAUCAUUAGUUGCCAUCAGGUCAAGCUGGGGACUCUAAUGAAACUGCCUACGCAAGUAGUGAGGAAGGUGGGGAUGACGUCAAAUCAGCACGGCCCUUACGUCCAGGGCUACACACGUGCUACAAUGGCCGGUACAAAGGGCAGCUACCUGGUGACAGGAUGCUAAUCUCAAAAGCCGGUCUCAGUUCGGAUCGGAGUCUGCAACCCGACUCCGUAAAGCUGGAAUCGCUAGUAAUCGCGCAUCAGCCAUGGCGCGGUGAAUACGUUCCCGGGCCUU